GGAAUAUUGGUCAAUGGACGGAAGUCUGAACCAGCCAUGCCGCGUGAAGGAUGACGGCCCUAUGGGUUGUAAACUUCUUUUGUGACAGAGCAAUAAGGUGUACGUGUACACCGAUGAGAGUAUGCCACGAAUAAGCAUCGGCUAACUCCGUGCCAGCAGCCGCGGUAAUACGGAGGAUGCAAGCGUUAUCCGGAUUUAUUGGGUUUAAAGGGUGCGUAGGCUGUGUAUCAAGUCAGUGGUGAAAGACCGGGGCCCAACCUCGGAAGUGCCAUUGAUACUGAUAUGCUGGAGUACCCCUGCCGUGGGAGGAAUGAGUGGUGUAGCGGUGAAAUGCAUAGAUAUCACUCAGAACACCGAUUGCGAAGGCAUCUCACGAAAGGGCAACUGACGCUGAGGCACGAAAGCGUGGGGAUCAAACA
rnacentral:rRNA from 1 species